UACGUAGGGUGCAAGCGUUGUCCGGAAUUAUUGGGCGUAAAGAGCUCGUAGGCGGUCUGUCGCGUCGGCUGUGAAAACCCGGGGCUCAACUCCGGGCCUGCAUUCGAUACGGGCAGACUAGAGUUCGGUAGGGGAGUCUGGAAUUCCUGGUGUAGCGGUGAAAUGCGCAGAUAUCAGGAGGAACACCGGUGGCGAAGGCGGGACUCUGGGCCGAUACUGACGCUGAGGAGCGAAAGCGUGGGGAGCAAACAGG
rnacentral:rRNA from 1 species